UACGGAGGGUGCAAGCGUUAUCCGGAUUCACUGGGUUUAAAGGGUGCGUAGGCGGGCAGGUAAGUCAGGGGUGAAAUCUUCGAGCUUAACUCGGAAACUGCCUUUGAUACUAUUUGUCUUGAAUAUUGUGGAGGUAAGCGGAAUAUGUCAUGUAGCGGUGAAAUGCUUAGAUAUGACAUAGAACACCAAUUGCGAAGGCAGCUUACUACACAAUGAUUGACACUGAGGCACGAAAGCGUGGGGAUCAAACAGG
rnacentral:rRNA from 1 species